rnacentral:rRNA from 1 species
GACGAACGCUGGCGGCGUGCUUAACACAUGCCAGUCGAACGGAAAGGCCCUGCUUGCCGGGUACUCGAGUGGCGAACGGGUGAGUAACACGUGGGUGAUCUGCCCUGCACUUCGGGAUAAGCCUGGGAAACUGGGUCUAAUACCGGAUAGGAGCCAUUUUUAGUGUGAUGGUUGGAAAGUUUUUUCGGUGUAGGGUGAGCUCGCGGCCUAUCAGCUUGUUGGUGGGGUAAUGGCCUACCAAGGCGGCGACGGGUAGCCGGCCUGAGAGGGUGGACGGCCACAUUGGGACUGAGAUACGGCCCAGACUCCUACGGGAGGCAGCAGUGGGGAAUAUUGCACAAUGGGCGCAAGCCUGAUGCAGCGACGCCGCGUGGGGGAUGACGGCCUUCGGGUUGUAAACUCCUUUCGCUAGGGACGAAGCUUUUUGUGACGGUACCUAGAUAAGAAGCACCGGCUAACUACGUG